rnacentral:snRNA from 1 species
AGAGCACCUCAGCCUUUUGGGGAAGCUCAAGUGUAGUGUGUUCUUACAGUUUCAUAUCUGCUAGGUGGCUGCAGGGGUUCAGUGCUCAAUAGCAUUGUGGAGACAGGAGGUGCUUGGAGAGCCUGCUGCAGCCACUUCACACAUGGGCCUGGUACAGCAAUAGCUUCUGGUGCUCUGCUAGCUCU